rnacentral:rRNA from 1 species
AGCGAACGCUGGCGGCAGGCUUAACACAUGCAAGUCGAGCGGGCACUUCGGUGUCAGCGGCAGACGGGUGAGUAACACGUGGGAACGUGCCCUUCGGUUCGGAAUAACUCAGGGAAACUUGAGCUGAUACCGGAUACGCCCUUUUGGGGAAAGGUUGACCGCCGAAGGAUCGGCCCGCGUCUGAUUAGCUUGUUGGUGGGGUAACGGCCUACCAAGGCGACGAUCAGUAGCUGGUCUGAGAGGAUGAUCAGCCACACUGGGACUGAGACACGGCCCAGACUCCUACGGGAGGCAGCAGUGGGGAAUAUUGGACAAUGGGCGCAAGCCUGAUCCAGCCAUGCCGCGUGAGUGAUGAAGGCCUUAGGGUUGUAAAGCUCUUUUGUCCGGGACGAUAAUGACGGUACCGGAAGAAUAAGCCCCGGCUAACUUCGUGCCAGCCGCCGCGGUAAGAC